rnacentral:misc_RNA from 1 species
CAGAGUUUAACAACUCCCAAACCCAUGUGAAUUUACCUAUGUUGCCUCGGCGGAGCCUACCCUGUAGCCCGCCGGUGGAAUUUCAAACUCUGUUUUUUUAAUGAAAUCUGAGCGUCUUAUUUAAUAAGUCA